UCAUAUUGAACCCAUCUGGUCCCGGAGUCUUAUCUCCAUUACACAAACAGAGUGCCUCAUGGAUUUCCUCCAACGUGAACAUUUGCCAACAUACCUGCUGUGUUUCUCAUCCAGAGUUCUGAAUUGAAGGUUAUCCAGCCUUGGUCUCCAUCUUACAUCUUCUUUAUACAGCUGUUCGAAUUGGUCUUUUGCAUGCUCUCUCAUCUCCAAAUUCCCUUUUAUAAUUCUAUCAUUAUACACAAAUUCUUCAAUGCAAUUCCUCUUUCUUCUAUAAUUUGCUAAUCCAUGAAAAUAACUUGUAUUUUGGCCCCCUUCCUUUAACCAUUUUUCUCUAGAAUUUUGGCGGCAUGAAAUUGCCUCCAGAUUCAGUUUGUGAACAAC
rnacentral:lncRNA from 1 species